UCCUCAUCAAAAUUUAAUUCAAAACCGGUCGUAACCCUAUAACACUAGACACACGGUAAACCACAACCCUAAUAUUAAUUAACCCUAUCCCAAACUAUGACUUAUUGUUUAAAAUAUACACAUCCUACGAGACAAGUUAAAAAACCAUUUUUUACCAAAACUAAAAACUAUUAUAUCUACAUUUUCCAAAAAAUCAUUAUUACAACAAUUGAAGUAGAAAAAUAAUAAUCUCUAAAUUUAGAUUUAAUUCAAAGUACGUGUUCAUAUCUAACACUACGAUAGUGAACGUAUUCCCACGUUUAUCAUAGUUGGUACAGGGUUCCCACUAGAAUUUUUGGUGAGCAGGCCUUUUUGAAACACGUAUAGUAGGCGGCUACUGCGGCUGAAGGUGUGAGAAAUAACCAGCGAUUGUCGAAAAUCGCCUGGUGCCGGCUUCUAUUGGGAACUCUGUGGUAAUAAUUCUAAAUACAAUACUGUACUUCUUUUCAACUUUAUAGUUUUUAUAGAGCAACCUAUAGUAUGGAAAACUAACUGUCUGUAUUACUGAUCACUGUGCAAUAAAUAUUUCUCACAUAUCACAUAUUAUAUUUCAUUUACAUGAAAUAUAAGAAAGACGUAAAACACCUCUUUGACUCUUUCAAAGAAAAUGGCCUGAUCCAUAAUUACUUGGCACCCAAUUUUCCUUUCAACUUCCGUAAAACCCUUCACCACUGACUGUAUUUGACAAAAAAGCGUUCAAUUGCAUGAUGUUAAUAAAAAAUGAUUACUUAUUUCGAAGGACAAAGUACGAAGGUAUUCUUCUACAAUUAUCUUUUUGGCUUUUACCAUACGAAAUGUAGUUUUUAGGAUUUUUUUAACAGUUGGUCUUCUUACGCGAUUUUUUUCGUGAUAGGCAAGUUUUAAACAUUGCUUUUUUCCCUCCUUUACGAGUUGUAUCGAUAUGUCUUCGUUCGGAUAAUGAAUAUACUAUUAUGUAUUUUGUAUACAUUCAACCGAUAUACAAACAGUAUACAUAAGUGCAGUGCAAUUUCAAAGGGACUUCCUGUUUCUAAAGAUAUCAUGCACCCACGCUCGCUAAAAAUUUUAAUGAUUCAAAGUUUGUGAGUUCACGGCAACCAGGUAUAUCAGUCGUGUUUUUGCUCGCUACUCUGUUUUUUAUAAAUGAAUGCAAAGCCCAGUCGAAUUGGAUUCACGACCCAACGUUUCGACACUCCAGUCUAGUAGUGUCUUGCAUCAGGGGUGAUCUGGAGUCGCAAGCGUGCAUCUACAAGCGUGGUAUAUAAAUACGAGUAAUCAUGCUAUGAAUAGCAGGGCCAGGGUGAAAAAUAAAUCAUUUAAAUAUAUUUGUAGGCUGUUUGGUGCGUGUUACAAUUGUACUGGCGAUUUGUUUCUUAACACUACGUUUAAAUCCUGAAAUAGAAGUACAAAGUUUUAGAUCAUUGUUCAACGAAUUCCAGGGGCUAACAGCCUAAUUAAAUAAACCAUCACAAAAUAAAAUUCUAAAAUAAUUACCAAGUCUGAGAACAAACGUUCCAUCCAUGGCUUGUCCAUGGCUCUGGCAUGCAUUAUGACGCAUGGGCAUCGAUUUUCAUCAUACAAUUACGAUUCCCACCUAGUUCAUGGCUACCAGAAAUUCAGAUUUAUGGCUACCAGAAUGCUUAACGCCAUCUUUUUAUGUCAAGACAGGACAGCAUAUAUUUCAUUUAAACCCAUAGGCCAUAAAUUCACUGUAUACAUCAAUGAAUUAAGAAGAAAAACUCAUUGCUCAUUUAUGGAAGUUGCCGGCUAUAGUGCUGUGAAAACGCCGGUGGCAGCCGGUAGCCGGUUUCUAUUUUAAACUCUAAAUAUGACGGUGCUUAUUUGCCACAAGAAAAUGUACACUUUGUUAGCAGGUGACGUCAUCAUGAGUACAUAAGAAGCCACGUUGCGACUUCAGAUCACUCUUGAUGAAAACACUAGACUGGAGUGUCGAAACGUUGGGUCGUGAAUGCAACUCGACUGGAUUUUGCAUUCAUAUAUAAAAAUCAGAGUUAUAGCGGGUGAAAACAUGAAUUUUAAUUAUACUAAAACUAUGACAAACAAACCUUUUUCGCCAAAUAUACACGGUGCUUUUCAGCGAGCAGUGAGUUUUAAAUGUACAGGGUGUGCAAAAUGCAAUUAUAGCUAUGUUCUAGGCACAGCUAUACAAUUAUUCGUGGGCAUCGAAAAUUCAAUCUCAGAGAUGAAUUUUGUGUUAUGGCUGUUUAAAGGUAUCAUCGAAUCUUUUUAUACUUCACACAACUGGUGCUGAGGCACGAUUCAAUGAUCCCCAGACUUAAAGCAGUCAUAACAUUGGUUCUACUAGAUCAAUUUUAAUAUUCUAAGUGUCAAAAUUCAUCUCUUAGAUUGCAAUUUCGAUGCCCACUAAUAAAUAAUUACUGUACAGUAGCUGUGUAAAAAUCUGGAACACAGCUUUUGCACUUUUGUAGAGACCAUGUACUGAAAUAACUGCGAGAACUGAAUGUCCGGUAAAGUAUUCAGCCAGAUUUGAUAUAUUAUAAUUAGUCCAGGUCAUAUAUUAUACACUUACAAAUACCGAACGGCGAACAAUGGAAUCAACACAUGACUAAACAGUGUGAAAAACUUAUACCUAUUAUAAAAAUCUAUAACAUAUAUACGUAUAACUAGAAUAGUCAAUCAUUCAAUUUAAAUACAACUAUAAGUAUAAUACCACGCUUAAUAUUUAUAACCUAACAUUGAACCAUCUAAAUUGAACUUAGUGUCCUAACCAUCAAAAUUGAACUUAGUGUCUCUGUGUAUGAAUAAACUUCUAUCAAAUAUACAAUUUGUAUUUAACCCUAUCACCAGUAUGGAAUGAAAUGCAUGUAUAUAGUGGCAGCAAUUCCUUUACAUUGCCGUCUACGUGUCUGACACUGCAGCCCUCUUCUCAGCUUCAAUAUAGAACUGUCAUAACAACACACCCUGUUGUGCCCUGCGGCAUAGAUUUGAGAUGUAAGAAAAUAGAGUGUACAGUUGAACAGUAUACGAUAAAUGUACAUCUUCGUAUCUAUAACGACUGCCUAUUCUUGUACUAUCAAUUCUUCAGGUCUACAUUUUCGUAAUACUUAUCGUUCCUCUUUUUCUUCUCGCCAUUCUCUUCCUUGGGAGAAUCUAAAAAGACGUCCUCGUAUUGACCAGUAGGAGCCUUGGCCUUAUCGUUAGCUGAAGAUACCAUAGGAGUGACAUUUUCAUACCGCUGCUUUGGUUGUGCUGUAUCAUUAGUUUCCUUCAGAUUUUCUGGGGUGACGUUUUCAUACGGUCUGCUAAGCGGCUUAUCACUAGGAAGGUCAACACGUUCAUAACCAGCAUCUCGCCGAGGGUUGUUAUUUGUCUUUCGUGGAGAUGUUGUACUCGGUUCGCU